rnacentral:rRNA from 1 species
AUGACCAACAUCUCUCCUGCUCAGUAUGAUAAGGAUGUCAAUGAUAAUGAAAACCUCCCUCACAGCAGAGCGGCGGAGUGCAUCCUUGCCAUCUACAUUUCAGAGCCCGAUCAGUUCAUCGUGAUCUCUCCGGUCAGUUGCUCAACAACAGAAGCAUGUACCGCCGAGUACAUGUAUUACUAUUGCGAAGGUUCAAAAAUCUGGACUCAACAAGUUCAACAUUGA